rnacentral:rRNA from 1 species
AGAGUUUGAUCAUGGCUCAGGAUGAACGCUGGCGGCGUGCCUAAUACAUGCAAGUCGAACGCGAAAGGUCUGAAGCCUUCGGGCGGAGGGCCGAGUAGAGUGGCGAACGGGUGAGGAACACGUAGGUGACCUGCCCCGGAGAGGGGGAUAACCGUCGGAAACGGCGGCUAAUACCCCAUAAGCUCACGCGAGUUAGAGGGCGUGUGAGAAAAGCUCCGGCGCUCCGGGAGGGGCCUGCGGCCCAUCAGCUAGUUGGUAGGGUAAAGGCCUACCAAGGCGAAGACGGGUAGGGGGCCUGAGAGGGUGGUCCCCCACAUGGGAACUGAGACACGGUCCCAACUCCUACGGGAGGCAGCAGUAAGGAAUAUUGCACAAUGGGCGCAAGCCUGAUGCAGCAACGCCGCGUGCCCGAGGACGGCCUUCGGGUUGUAAAGGGCUUUUCUGGCUGACGAGGAAGGACGGUAGGCCAGGAAUAAGCGUCGGCUAACUACGUGCCAGCAGCCGCGGUAAAACGUAGGACGCGAGCGUUAUCCGGAUUUACUGGGCGUAAAGCGCGGGCAGGCGGUGGUCCAAGUCGGACGUGAAAGCUCCCGGCUCAACUGGGAGAGGUCGUUCGAAACUGGGCCGCUAGAGGGCAGUAGAGGGGCGUGGAAUUCCGGGUGGAGUGGUGAAAUGCGUAGAGAUCCGGAGGAACACCAGAGGCGAAGGCGGCGCCCUGGGCUGCACCUGACGCUGAGCCGCGAAAGCUAGGGGAGCGAACGGGAUUAGAAACCCCGGUAGUCCUAGCCGUAAACGAUGUCCACUAGAUGUCUGGGCGGAGCGCCUGGGCGUCGCAGCUAACGCGUUAAGUGGACCGCCUGGGGAGUACGGCCGCAAGGCUAAAACUCAAAUGAAUUGACGG